GGUUGUCAAGUCAGGUGUGAAAUCCUACAGCUUAACUAUAGAACUGCACUUGAAACUGGCAACCUAGAGUAUGGGAGGGGGAGAUGGAAUUAGUGGUGUAGGGGUAAAAUCCGUAGAUAUCACUAGGAAUACCUAAAGCGAAGGCGAUCUCCUGGAACAUUACUGACGCUAAGGCGUGAAAGCGUGGGGAGCAAACAGGAUUAGAUACCCUGGUAGUCCACGCCCUAAACGAUGAACACUAGUCGUCGCCCUGCUUGUCAGGGCGGUGAUGCACUUAACAGAUUAAGUGUUCCGCCUGGGGAGUACGGUCGCAAGAUUAAAACUCAAAGGAAUAGACGGGGACCCGCACAAGUGGUGGAGCAUGUGGUUUAAUUCGAAGAUACGCGAAAAACCUUACCUGGCCUUGACAUUGAUAGAAUCCAGCAGAGAUGCAGGAGUGCCCUUCGGGGAGCUUGAAAACAGGUGCUGCACGGCUGUCGUCAGCUCGUGUCGUGAGAUGUUGGGUUAAGUCUCGCAACGAGCGCAACCCUCGUCCUUAGUUGCCAGCAGGUUAAGCUGGGCACUCUAGGGAGACUGCCUUCGCAAGAAGGAGGAAGGUGAGGACGACGUCAAGUCAUCAUGGCCCUUACGGCCAGGGCUACACACGUGCUACAAUGGGGCGUACAGAGUGUUGCAAUACCGCGAGGUGGAGCCAAUCACUUAAAGCGUCUCUCAGUUCGGAUUGUUCUCUGCAACUCGAGAGCAUGAAG
rnacentral:rRNA from 1 species